rnacentral:lncRNA from 1 species
CCCGUGAUUUCAACAUGGACGUUUAGAAAAUAAGAUGGAGAGGAGGUAUUUUUGGAGAUAAAAAAUAAAAUAAUAACAAUAAUAAAUCCUUAUUGUGGUCCUCAGAAUGAUGUUAAUCUACUGAUAAUCAUGAUCGUAUGAUCAAUGAAUCAUUAAUCAAAUGUACAAACUUAUAAAUUUUCACAAGAAAGGGUAAUACAGAACAAGGUUUGAAUAGCGGA